GGGCGUAAGCGUACGCAGGCGGUUUGUUAAGCGAGAUGUGAAAGCCCCGGGCUCAACCUGGGAACUGCAUUUCGAACUGGCAAACUAGAGUGUGAUAGAGGGUGGUAGAAUUUCAGGUGUAGCGGUGAAAUGCGUAGAGAUCUGAAGGAAUACCGAUGGCGAAGGCAGCCACCUGGGUCAACACUGACGCUCAUGUACGAAAGCGUGGGGAGCAAACGGGAUUAGAUACCCCGGUAGUCCACGCCGUAAACGAUGUCUACUAGAAGCUCGGAACCUCGGUUCUGUUUUUCAAAGCUAACGCAUUAAGUAGACCGCCUGGGGAGUACGGCCGCAAGGUUAAAACUCAAAUGAAUUGACGGGGGCCCGCACAAGCGGUGGAGCAUGUGGUUUAAUUCGAUGCAACGCGAAGAACCUUACCUACACUUGACAUACAGAGAACUUUCUAGAGAU
rnacentral:rRNA from 1 species